UUACAGAUUGUUUCGGAACUUAUCUACCUCAGUAGAACUACUGGUAGAUAUUGUCUUGAAACUAGAUCAAUAACUUGCUAAAAUUUAACCCGCACCCAACAAAAAUUUGCUGAAAAAAAAAACAAACAAAGCUUGCAACCUACCUUCUAAUGAAAAGAAAAACCUGUCUGAACAAAGAAUUAAAGCAAAUCCUGUUACCAGUAGACAACGAAGAGUAAACGAACUAAUGAUCGAAAGGAAGAUAAUAUGUAAUUGUUAUGGGCUGAACUUUAACAGGCAGCCACAAAUACAAAAUAAACAGUUUAAUGCAAAACUCUAUGAAAAAUAAAUAACUAAAAGGAAUACUUAUUCGCGUACUAUUUUAUAUUCCAUAAAGAACACAUCAAGUCUUACUAACGGCAGCCCUGAACAAUGUCAUUGGAAAUUAUCCAAUUAGAAUACCUAAUAAAAAAACCGGAAGAAACAAGUUUUAGAUUUUCGAUAAAAAAUCGUUCUUUCGUUUAACAAUCGUUUUCAAAACACUUACGACUAACUGCUGCAAUAGACACUACGUAAAUAUAUUAAUUUGUUUAUUUAUUGCAAUUGCUUGAAUACCUAAUUAUUUACGUCACCUUCACCAACUUAUAAAAUAACAAAAUUAGACGAUUACAACAAUAAAUGGAAAUAAAAAUGUUAAUGAGUCAUGACGUUAAUUGUUAAUAAUCUUAAACACGAGCUACAUUUUUGUUUUGUGACGAAAUUGAAACAAUAAUACCUUCGCUGGCGACCGCAGUGGCGGACCUACCUCAAUAAUUUGAUCAAGCUUGUAACAAACUAUUUUCCACAUUCUUCUUUGUCUUAGAAUUCAGAAUUUUAAUACAAAGGAGCUAAAGACGACCAAGAAAAAUUCAAACUUUUCACUUGUCUCUGUGAAUAAACAGAAAUAAAAACAAAACCAAGACUAUGACCAACACCAAGUGGAAGUGAGGGGUGAUUGGUCAAGGGGGCGACUAUCAGACGGGGGUUGAUGUACAAGCGGAUACACAUACAAGUAAAUAGAAAAAACUAAAAAUAAAUGAAUAGAUCUGCCGAACGAAGCCGAUUGCAGCAAAACAGCUAAUUCGCAAAGAAAAAGAACUCUCACCGAUAAGUCUCCUUGGGGUCACGGCCACCAGAAAUUUCCAUCGCAGUUAGCCCACGGAACAGCCCAGUUUCCUCUGCUUCUUUGUCGUUCAUGC